GGACGUGUGGCUUAGUUGAUAGAGCGUUCAGAAGAUGCUAAACAUCUUCUCUCUCUCAGGAAAUGCACAAGGUCUUGGGUUCGAUUCCAUGCUCGUCCA